rnacentral:rRNA from 1 species
UACGUAGGUGGCAAGCGUUGUCCGGAAUUACUGGGCGUAAAGCGUGCGCAGGCGGUUCGUUGUGUCGGUGGUGAAAGCCCCGGGCUUAACCUGGGAAUGGCCAUGGAAACUGGCGAACUGGAGUGUGGCAGAGGGGGGUGGAAUUCCGCGUGUAGCAGUGAAAUGCGUAGAGAUGCGGAGGAACACCGAUGGCGAAGGCAGCCCCCUGGGCUAACACUGACGCUCAGGCACGAAAGCGUGGGGAGCAAACAGG